UUAAUUAAAGCCAAACAGAGGCGUAUUAUUGUUAAUAAUAUCAUUGAAUUACAUUCUAAUUAAA
rnacentral:tRNA from 1 species